GGGAAUAUUGGACAAUGGGGGAAACCCUGAUCCAGCAAUGCCGCGUGAGUGAAGAAGGCCUUAGGGUUGUAAAGCUCUUUCGCCCGCGAAGAUAAUGACGGUAGCGGGAGAAGAAGCCCCGGCUAACUCCGUGCCAGCAGCCGCGGUAAUACGGAGGGGGCUAGCGUUGUUCGGAAUUACUGGGCGUAAAGCGUACGUAGGCGGAUGCGCAAGUUGGGGGUGAAAUCCCGGGGCUUAACCUCGGAAUUGCCCUCAAAACUGCACGUCUUGAGACCGAGAGAGGUAAGGGGAAUUCCUAGUGUAGAGGUGAAAUUCGUAGAUAUUAGGAAGAACACCAGUGGCGAAGGCGCCUUACUGGCUCGGUACUGACGCUGAGGUACGAAAGCGUGGGGAGCAAACA
rnacentral:rRNA from 1 species